GAAAAAUAUUGAAAUGACUGGAGUUUCACUUAAAUUGAAGAAUUGUUACCACUUGCCAUACACACAUUUAAUACCUACUGGUUCACUGUAGGGGAAUAACUAAGAAACCAAAUGUGCCGAUUAGAGUUUAUAGGAAUGUUUCAAUACAGCUGUUUUUCCUUCUUAUAUUUCUUUUUUUUUUUUUAAUAUUUUAUUUAUUUAUUCAUGAGAGACACACAGAGCGAGGCAGAGACACAGGCAGAGGGAGAAGCAGGCUCCAUGCAUCGGGAUGCCCAAUGUGGGAUUCGAUCCCAGGUCUCCAGGAUCGUGCCCUGGGCCAAAGGCAGGCGCCAAACCGCUGCGCCACCCAGGGAUCCCUCCUUCUUAUAUUUCUUUAAUGCCUGGGAAAAAUCCAUGAUUAGGCACAUUUUUGGCAUUACUAAUUAACUUGUGUGGGACAACAUGUGAUCCACAGUAGUUUAGACCUCUGACUAGUGAUUUUAGAAUAAAAGCAGAUACAGUCAAAUACAUCUUACAGAAACUGUUAGGAUAGAUCUCAUUGUGACGCUGUGUCCAAAUGGGAGAGAGAUGACACCAUUUUCUCAAUUGACUUCAACUAAAUACCCAACUGUGGAAUCAGAGUUCCCAGGAAUCUGCCCGGACUCUCAGAAGCGGCGGAAAGGACCAUGGUGCAAGAGUGAGCCUGCAAUCGGCUGGGGCGAUCCAGCUGGUUCUAACAGAUUAUUGAACAUGGCUGGAGGCGCCUGGAAAAGAUGAGACCAGAGGACAAAAUUCUGAACAUGGAAUUUUAGGAAGAGAGAAAUGGCUGCACAGAGUACGAUGGACUGAAAAAGGAUGGGAUGCUGGGGAUUUGGAUGCAGACAUAGACAAGAACUGUCCAGAAUUCCUGAGGAUGGAGAGGAGAACCAUGAGACCAGAGAAUCAGAUGAUGUGACAUCAAAUUCAUGAUGCAAUUCAAAACACAGCUGUGGGGCAGGAAUCUGGAACCAACCGAAAUGGGGACUCAGAGAAAAAGAAAGAGGAAUCUACCCACUUUUCAGUCAACUUACCCAAUGGGAGAAGACACACCUUCCCAUGUGGAUCUUGUAGAAGCUUCUGGAGGGGUCAGUCCCAGGAGUGACCCUUGCUGUGUCAGCCUUUCUAUGCAUGAUCAGUUUGCUGUGAUCUAUGGAGAACUCCCACCUCAGGAAUUUGAAGCCUGUGGUAAGUCUUUUUGUUUUUUGAGUCUAGGCUAUAGAUUACUUUUGUUUUGAGAAAACCUUAGGGGCUUGUAAUAUAGUCACAAUUUUUUAUUCUUUGAACUGCAUAAAUAAAUUAGACCACUUUGUGGUGGAAAGAUUUUUGCAAGCAUAAGCUCAGGAUACUUUUCUAUUGUAUCUCUGAAAUAUUAAGUAUUUUUGGGUGUUCACACAAUAAGUUGAUAGGAUCGAUCCUUCCUUCCUUCCUUCCUUCCUUCCUUCCUUCCUUCCUUCCUUCCUUCUUCCUCUUCCUUUUCUUCUUUCUUUCUUUCUUUCUUUCUUUCUUUCUUUCUUUCUUUCUUUCUUUCUUUCUUUCUUUCUUUCCUUUUUCUUCUGACCUUCCUAGUGCAGUAAAUAAACAUUGAAAGAAUGUUAUAAAUUCAUCUGUUGGUAAUCCUUAAACUGCAUUAGAAUAAUUGAUUUGGGGAACCUAGAUAAAUAUUUAUCAUAACAAACCCACGUUUCUCAUUUCAUGUGGAAGGGAGCUGCAUUUUCCUUCAUGCACAGGGAUCAUAUGAAAAGCUUAUGUUAGAAGAUAGAAGCUUCAAAUCCAUUCUCUGGUCUUGGGGGACAUAACUUCUUGAGAUAGCUAGACUACAGUUCAACUAGAAUAUUUAAGAUGCAAGUAAGAAUUUUUUUAAAAGUUUCUUUUUCUGGGUUAGGUUUAAUGACUUUACUAGUGCAGAACAAUGGAAUUUCAUAUGCUCCAUCCCAAGAAGGAACUAAUGGAGGAAGACUAUUGUAUUUGUUGAAAGCGUAUGGUCUGCUGGGCUCCAUGUAUAUUCUCCCCACAGCCCUACAAGAUGAGUAUCAUUAUCCCUAUUUCACAGAUGAAGAAACAGGAUCAGAGGGGUUAGGUGAUCUAACCAAUGUCAAACACAAAUAAAUAGCAGCUCUAGGAAGAUCUAUGUGACUCCAAAUCCACGCUUUUUUUUUUUUCCAUUAUAACCUAUUGCUUUCAAAAGGUGAGAAGGCUAAUUUAACAUCUACCAUUACUGCCUGCCUACACAAGAAAACGCACAGAGAAUACUAACUCUUCUAGUGGUCUGGCAACCAGAGGUGGAGGCCAUUGCCUUUGGCUAACCCAUCUCUCUAAGAAUCUUGAAUGUGAACAAAGUGUCUUCUUCUCACCGUAUUGCCUGAGGGAAAUGAGCAGUUCAGAGAAGCCACUCCAGAAUUUUGGCCAGUUGCUGAGUGUUCAGGCUGAGGAGAUGAAGCAUAUGCAAACACUGUGGUGUCAGGUGCAGUGAAAUAAAUCAGAAUCAGCCUGAGCUUUCCUAUGAUCUUCAGCUGUGGUCUUUUUACAAGGCAUUGAAUCAAGACAACUUCAAUUUACAGGAUCAGAGUAAGUUCUUGUUGGACAGGAGUGGUUUUGGCCCGAAGUGUAGUUGUAAAAUAGACUUACUUUCUGGCUUUCCAUUCAUAGCUUUUGUCUCUAUUAUGGAAAUUCCCCUUCCAUCAGCACACUGGACCUUCAUACUCUUUCCACUUUCCCCUUAACACAAUCUGAUCUGGUGAGCUAUCACCUGGAAAAAAUCUAAUCAAUUAUAUCAUUACUUGCAGGAAUGACUCUGAUGGUGGAAUUUCAAGAAUCAAGGGAGGCAAGUGAAGAUGAAACUUCAAAGCAGCAAAGGUUUCUUAACACCCUUCGAUGUUUAGGACAUAAGUGACCACUUAUUUAUGAGCUGUUCAUGGGUUAAGACUGAUCCUAGAGGUUGAUGGAAGAAGGCUAAUGUAAGUGGCUGAAGGGUGCUUGACUAGAGUGUGCCUCUGGGGAAAACAAAAAACAAAAACCCUAGAGUCCUUUUGCUGGCACAUUGUUGCUCUGUUAUCUUCCAACACACUCUACUGUGGAGUCUGGCAUUUGUAUUGAAGCUGACUGUGGGGGUGGGGAUUGCUGAGGUUGGUGGGGGAAGCAUAUUCUUUCCUGCAGCUGGCUUCUCAGCCUCUCUAUAGGAAAGCCAAGAUGAUUCCUUUGGUCAUUGUAACUUGGUCAGAGAUCUUUCCUAGAGGAGAAAGAGUGAUUGUGAAGAUGGAUGGCCUAGGCAAUGCAGUAGAAAAAGGUAGCACAUUUUAAAAAAAGUAGUCCACUGACUGGCUGUGAUGACAGGGGAAUCUAAUGAAGUUUUCCUAAAGCUGUUUCCAGAUCUGUGGAAGCUUUAUCGAAGUCCAAAACUUUUGGUUGUAGAGUUCGGGAAGUUUACUGGAGUGCCAGCAAUUUAUCUCUCCUCUUACUUACUGUAGAUACUUAGGGCAGAAGUACAUUGCCAAUUUAUAACAUAGAAGCGUCUGGCACUUUUUUUUUUUUUUAAUUUUAAAAUAAAAACAAUCCCACAGCAUUUAUUGUCCUCUGGUAAUAACAUAAAGGUAAUUAAAACAAUACAAACAAGGGUUUUAGAACUAUAUUCCCAACAAAGGACAUCUAAAAAAACAAACUACGUGGCCUUCUCAAGAAUUUCUCACUUCACUGAUCAUUCUAGUUGGAGACACUUUGGAGCAGGGUAAUAUUAUCUCCUUUUAGCAUGAUCCGACCCAGUUGUUUUCUUGACUUUGUUUUAGAAUGAAUCUCUUUGGCAUCGUCUAAUACAAGGUUCAUGUACUCAUCAAAACCAAUGAUACAGCCCUCUAUCCGCAUGUUUACUUGCUCAUAAAGCCACACCUGAAUCCGAGAUCUAUUUUGCAAGUAUCUGAAGAUGAAUUUGAUGGCUGAACCAUCACCUUCUGCACUUUUUGGCCCUGGCCACAGUACGCCAUGGUGGAAGCUGACAAAGACCGGUAUAUAAAAAUGUUUUCUAAGACGGAGAGUUCUUCUAUAGACAUUUCAGAAGAAGCACUACUAUUUUAUCUAGAAGGUGAAGAAAUACUUAGCACAAAGCCACCAUUGCAAUCUGUGGCAGGGUAGGUAGAUGAAAUGCUUCUUUUUGCUUGAGGGGUUGGCCAACAAUGUUUGAGGUAAUUAUAACUUAUUUCUUGCUUAAAGGAAAAGGUGAAAGGACUUGAGGAACACUUCUGUGUACUCCACACUGUGAGAAGGAUGUGUUGAAGAACUAACACACAAAAAAAGCUAGAUUAAAAAAACAAGGGGGAGGAGAAGGGAAAUGUUUGUCAACAAGUAGAUGUGAUGAACUAUCUUUUCCCAUUGGUAGAAAUUAGGCUUAUUCAUAGUUCUUUUUGAUUUGGUUUUUAAAUUUGCAUCCUUCUGUUAGAGCAUUGCUCUAGUUGUUUUAUACCUAUUUCUUUAAGUGUGCCUACCCCCGCUAUGUUGUGAAUUACAUGAGGCCAUGCAUUUUCUUUUCUCCUAUCCUUAGCAUCAAGCUGGAUACAGAAUAGAUCCUCAACAAGUGACUCAUGAAUGACUGAAAUUAUUUUUUACACUAUAGAAUUUUAGUUCUAAAACAGUCACUUCCCUGGGAAUGGGACAUCCCUGUGGGUCAUCUCAGAUAAUUUAGGAGGUGAGUAGAAGUAAUAAGCUGAUCUGAGUAGGGCUAGAUUAUUGACUAGUUAAGGAACAUAACCUCUUUUACCAUAAAUUGACAAUUUGAAACAUGAAUAUGAUGAAUUUAGCCAAAGAUGAUACCUUGAGGCAAAGAAGGUUAUACAAAAUCGAAUAUUAUCACAAGAAUAAGAUUCCAGAAAUACAUGUUUCUAGCAGGGCUGGCUUCAUGGGAGUGCAGCCUGUGUAGUCACAUGGAAUCCUAUAGUCAGAGGCCCUGCAUGUGGCCUAUGGUGUCCGAUUGCAGUCUUGAAAUUCUUAAUAAGUUUUGAACAGAGACCUACAAUUUCAUUUUUCAUUGGACCCUGUGAAUUCAGUAGCUAGUCCUGGCUACUAAUAAGAUGAUGGGAACCAUGAGGGCCAUGAUCAGAGAAGCUGCACUGGAUAGUAUCUGAGAAGAGCUAGGGAAGAAACAAGCAUGGGUUAUAAGAAGAACUCAUCUUACUUUGCCUCUGAGUGUGUUGCAGGCACUGUACAGGGCGCAUUUCUCAGGAGGGUGAAUGAUAGGGCCACUGGUCAAGAAAGGAUGGGUAUCCUCUGGGAGAGGAGUAUUCAGGGAGUUAAAAAGGAAGACCCUUUUCUCUGGGAGAAUGGGAAAGACAAAAAGGAGAGCUUGCAGGGAUGGAAGACUGGGAUAGUCUCAGAAAGAGGGAGGACAUACCUGCAAACUCAGAAUGAAAUAACCUGAAGUGCAGAGAAGGAAUCAUUAGGUAUUUCUAUUCUCUAUCCCCAAAUAGGGCCCCACAGGAAUGCCAGACUGAUCAACCUGGGAAGCCCCACACCAGGGACAGACAUUAGGAUAUGAAGUUGUAGAAGACACUAAAAAUCCACAAAACUUCACCUUGGUUUCUCAGUAUACUAGAUGGAAAGGAAGCCAGUAAUUUCAUGUUAAGGAAAAUUGCUCAGAAAACUCUUAGAUUGGGAUGCCUGGGUGGCUCAGUGGUUGAGCGUCUGCCUUUGGCUCAGGCCAUGAUCCCAGAAUCCCGGGAUUGAGUCUCACAUCGGGCUCCCUGCAUGGAGUCUGCUUCUCCCUCUGCCUGUGUCUUUGCCUCUCUCUCUCUCUCUGUGUGUGUCUCUCAUGAAUAAAUAAAUAAAAUC
rnacentral:lncRNA from 1 species